rnacentral:rRNA from 1 species
UUUAAAGAGAGUUUGAUCCUGGCUCAGGACGAACGCUGGCGGCGUGCCUAAUACAUGCAAGUCGAACGAACGGAGGAAGAGCUUGCUCUUCCAAUGUUAGUGGCGGACGGGUGAGUAACACGUGGGCAACCUGCCUGUAAGUUGGGGAUAACUCCGGGAAACCGGGGCUAAUACCGAAUGAUAAGAUGUGGCGCAUGCCACGUCUUUGAAAGAUGGUUUCGGCUAUCGCUUACAGAUGGGCCCGCGGUGCAUUAGCUAGUUGGUAGGGUAAUGGCCUACCAAGGCAACGAUGCAUAGCCGACCUGAGAGGGUGAUCGGCCACACUGGGACUGAGACACGGCCCAGACUCCUACGGGAGGCAGCAGUAGGGAAUCUUCCGCAAUGGACGAAAGUCUGACGGAGCAACGCCGCGUGUAUGAAGAAGGUUUUCGGAUCGUAAAGUACUGUUGUUAGAGAAGAA